rnacentral:Y_RNA from 1 species
GGCUGAUCCGAGGCAGUGAUGUUUACAACUGAUUGAUCAUAACCAGUUACAGAUUCCUUUGUUCCUUCUCCACUCCCACUGCUUCACUUGACUAGCCUUUA